rnacentral:rRNA from 1 species
GGGCCCGCACAAGCGGUGGAGCAUGUGGUUUAAUUCGAUGCAACGCGAAGAACCUUACCAAUCCUUGACAUCCACGGAAUCCUUUAGAAAUAGAGGAGUGCCUUCGGGAACCGUGAGACAGGUGCUGCAUGGCUGUCGUCAGCUCGUGUUGUGAAAUGUUGGGUUAAGUCCCGUAACGAGCGCAACCCUUAUCCUUAGUUGCUACCAUUAAGUUGAGGACUCUAAGGAGACUGCCGGUGACAAACCGGAGGAAGGUGGGGACGACGUCAAGUCAUCAUGGCCCUUACGGAUUGGGCUACACACGUGCUACAAUGGGGUAUACAGAGGGUUGCGAAGCCGCGAGGUGGAGCG